UAGGGAAUCUUCGGCAAUGGACGAAAGUCUGACCGAGCAACGCCGCGUGAGCGAAGAAGGUUUUCGGAUCGUAAAACUCUGUUGUUAGAGAAGAACAAGGACGUAAGUAACUGAACGUCCCCUGACGGCAUCUAACCAGAAAGCCACGGCUAACUACGUGCCAGCAGCCGCGGUAAUACGUAGGUGGCAAGCGUUGUCCGGGUUUAUUGGGCGUAAAGCUCGCGCAGGCGGUUACUUAAGUCUGAUGUGAAAGCCCCCGGCUCAACCGGGGAGGGUCAUGGGAAACUGGGAGACGUGAGUUCGGAAGAGGAGAGUGGAAUUCCAUGUGUAGCGGUGAAAUGCGUAGAUAUAUGGAGGAACACCAGUGGCGAAGGCGGCUCUCUGGUCUGUAACUGACGCUGAGGCUCGAAAGCGUGGGGAGCAAACAGG
rnacentral:rRNA from 1 species